GUGCCUAGGCAGCAGUGAGGAAUAUUGGUCAAUGGGCGGAAGCCUGAACCAGCCAAGCCGCGUGAGGGAAUAAGGCCCUACGGGUCGUAAACCUCUUUUGCCGGGGAGCAAGGGCCGGGACGCGUCCCGGCCCGGAGAGUACCCGGAGAAAAAGCAUCGGCUAACUCCGUGCCAGCAGCCGCGGUAAUACGGAGGAUGCGAGCGUUAUCCGGAUUUAUUGGGUUUAAAGGGUGCGUAGGCGGGCUUUUAAGUCAGCGGUAAAAAUUCGGGGCUCAACCCCGUCCGGCCGUUGAAACUGGGGGCCU
rnacentral:rRNA from 1 species